AAAAAAAAAAAAAAGAACAAUGCAGAGAAGAUCAGCAUGGCCCCUGCAUAAGGAUGACAUGCAAAUUUGUUAAGUGUUCCAUAUUUUU
ensembl:snRNA U6 U6 spliceosomal RNA